AUUGAACGCUGGCGGCAGGCUUAACACAUGCAAGUCGAGCGGAGAUGAGGUGCUUGCACCUUAUCUUAGCGGCGGACGGGUGAGUAAUGCUUAGGAAUCUGCCUAUUAGUGGGGGACAACAUUCCGAAAGGAAUGCUAAUACCGCAUACGUCCUACGGGAGAAAGCAGGGGAUCUUCGGACCUUGCGCUAAUAGAUGAGCCUAAGUCGGAUUAGCUAGUUGGUGGGGUAAGGCCUACCAAGGCGACGAUCUGUAGCGGGUCUGAGAGGAUGAUCCGCCACACUGGGACUGAGACACGGCCCAGACUCCUACGGGAGGCAGCAGUGGGGAAUAUUGGACAAUGGGGGGAACCCCGAUCCAGCCAUGCCGCGUGUGUGAAGAAGGCCUUAUGGUUGUAAAGCACUUUAAGCGAGGAGGAGGCUACUGAGACUAAUACUCUUGGAUAGUGGGCGUUACUCGCAGAAUAAGCACCGGCUAACUCUGUGCCAGCCGCCGCAGUAAAAC
rnacentral:rRNA from 1 species